ensembl:lncRNA
CGGAGAGCCUCUGCUGCCGAGCAUGCUCUGGCCAUGGAGAAGAAUGAGGCAGCGCUACUCCGCCAGAGGAUUUUUCAACUAACCUCUAAGAAGCUGAAAAUAGGAAAACCUGGGUUCCUGAUCAAGACCAUCCCCAAGCCCCCGAAAACAACCAAGACCAACAAACCCUUCUUGAAAACCUGCAAAGUUCUGAAAGCUUUCAAAGCACUAAUGAAGAUAUGAAGGCAAUGCAUACAAUUGUACAUUUGGUGCAAUUAUUCUCAGGACACGGGGUGAAGCAGAGUACAAUAAAUAAAUCCAGAUGCCUUAUUCCAUCAAACAACUGCAAGAAGUCUUCUUUAAAAUCAACCAAGCUAAAUUGGACACGUGUUUUAUGUCAUUUAUAUGGUAGGUCUCAUUAGAUAUCAUCCAACUCUUUAAAAAUGCCUUUGUAUGCAGAUUUCUGCUCUGUUUCCAUUAGGUAAGAUACAACUCCAUGGGGCUUACCUGCCAAGACCUCCAUGGAAGCCACAUAUCCCAUCAAUUACCAAAGCCAAAUGUUUCUCUUCUCUCUAGAAGAGGAAUGGUUUGGAGCAACCCAUCCUGGAGUGGGAUGGGAGCUCACUCUCCCUGCUGCCCUGGUUGUUUUUGGUGUGAUAUUACUAUGGAGGACCGUCCUUGUGAUCAAAAGCAGGAUACGUCUAUUGACUGAGACACAGCUAAACGUGAAACUCGCCCAGCUAUCGAAAAACAAAUGUGACAUAAUGAUUCAAUUGUCUGAAAUGGAGAUACUGUUGAAGGACUAUGACGCACCAGUGAAAAGGUUGCGGGCAUGCCUGCAGUCCUCUCAAGAGGAUAGUCAGGAGCUGGAGGAUAUGAAGAAACAAUGGGACAUCAGAGCUGGAGAAAUGGAGGCAUUUCAUCUCCAGCUCCAGGAGCGUGUUGAACGCAUACAGAAACUGAAAGCUGUUUGGGGACCGAUGGAACCACUUAAAGAGCAUCACGGUGGGGAUGCCAGGAUCCCUAGUGCCACCAACACCCAAUCUACC